GAUGAACGCUGGCGGCGUGCCUAAUACAUGCAAGUCGAGCGAACAGACGAGGAGCUUGCUCCUCUGACGUUAGCGGCGGACGGGUGAGUAACACGUGGAUAACCUACCUAUAAGACUGGGAUAACUUCGGGAAACCGGAGCUAAUACCGGAUAAUAUAUUGAACCGCAUGGUUCAAUAGUGAAAGACGGUUUUGCUGUCACUUAUAGAUGGAUCCGCGCCGCAUUAGCUAGUUGGUAAGGUAACGGCUUACCAAGGCAACGAUGCGUAGCCGACCUGAGAGGGUGAUCGGCCACACUGGAACUGAGACACGGUCCAGACUCCUACGGGAGGCAGCAGUAGGGAAUCUUCCGCAAUGGGCGAAAGCCUGACGGAGCAACGCCGCGUGAGGGAUGAAGGUCUUCGGAUCGUAAACCUCUGUUAUUAGGGAAGAACAAAUGUGUAAGUAACUAUGCACGUCUUGACGGUACCUAAUCAGAAAGCCACGGCUAACUACGUG
rnacentral:rRNA from 1 species